UGGGGAAUAUUGCACAAUGGGCGCAAGCCUGAUGCAGCCAUGCCGCGUGUAUGAAGAAGGCCUUCGGGUUGUAAAGUACUUUCAGUCGGGAGGAAGGUGGUAAGGUUAAUAACCUUAUCAAUUGACGUUACCGACAGAAGAAGCACCGGCUAACUCCGUGCCAGCAGCCGCGGUAAUACGGAGGGUGCAAGCGUUAAUCGGAAUUACUGGGCGUAAAGCGCACGCAGGCGGUCUGUCAAGUCGGAUGUGAAAUCCCCGGGCUCAACCUGGGAACUGCAUUCGAAACUGGCAGGCUAGAGUCUUGUAGAGGGGGGUAGAAUUCCAGGUGUAGCGGUGAAAUGCGUAGAGAUGUGGAGGAAUACCGGUGGCGAAGGCGGCCCCCUGGACAAAGACUGACGCUCAGGUGCGAAAGCGUGGGGAGCAAACAGG
rnacentral:rRNA from 1 species